rnacentral:tRNA from 1 species
AAAGUUUUAUUAUAAUUUUAGUAUUUUUCAUUGUCGUUGGAAGGGUUGAAAACUUUG